AUCGCUUCUCGGCCUUUUGGCUAAGAUCAAGUGUUGAUAUUGGUGUGUGCAUUCUCAGUUUUAUGGCAGUUUUGUUACUGACUUCAGUGGGCACAAAUUUGUGUCCAUUGGCCUCACUCUACAGAGCACCAGGGUGUGCUUGCAUAAAGUUGCAACAUGCUCUUUCCUCC